GCAUGAAAUAAUUCAUUUUGAAGAGGAACCUUCUGAAUAUAAUAACAAUGGGAACAGCUUCUGGCUGAAUGAAGACCUCAUUUGGCAUCAGAAGAUUAAAAAUUGGGAGCAACCUUUUGAAUACAAUGAAUGUGGGAAAGCUUUCCCUGAGAAUUCACUCUUCCUUGUACAUAAGAGAGCUUACACAGGACAGAAAACAUGCAAAUAUACUGAACAUGGGAAAACCUGUUAUAUGUCAUUUUUUAUUACUCAUCAGCAAACACAUCCAAGAGAGAACCACUAUGAAUGUAAUGAAUGUGGAGAAAGUAUCUUUGAGGAAUCCAUUCUCUUUGAACAUCAGAAUGUUUACCCAUUCAGCCAGAAUUUAAAUCCCACUCUAAUUCAGAGAACCCACUCAAUUAGCAAUAUUAUUGAAUAUAAUGAAUGUGGAACCUUUUUCAGUGAAAAAUUAGCCCUUCAUUUACAACAGAGAACACAUCCAGGGGAAAAACCUUAUGAAUGUCAUGAAUGUGGAAAAACCUUCACCCAGAAGUCAGCCCACACAAGACAUCAGAGAACACACACAGGGAAAACCCUAUGAAUGUCACGGAUGUGGGAAGACCUUCUAUAAGAAUUCAGACCUCAUUAGAAAUCAAAGAAUUCACACAGGGGAGAGACCUUACAGAUGUCAUGAAUGGAGAAAUCCUUCAGUGAAAAGUCAUCCCUUACUCAAAAUCAGAGAACACACGUGGGGAGAAAUCAUGAAUGUCAUGAAUGUGGGAAAACCUCGUUUAAGUCAGUUCUAACUGUGCAUCAGAAAACACACAGGGGAGAAGCCCUAUGAAUGCUAUGCAUGUGGCAACACCUUUCUCAGAAAAUCCGACCUCAUUAAACAUCAGAGAAUUCACACAGGAGAAAAACCUUAUGAAUGUAAUGAAUGUGGGAAGUCAUUCUCCGAGAAGUCAACCCUUACUAAACAUCUAAGAACACACAGAUGGGAAAUCUUAUGCAUGUAUUCAAUGUGGAAAAUUUUUCUGCUGCUACUACAGUUUCACAGAACAUCUGAGAAGACACACAGGGGAGAAACCUUUUGGAUGUAAUGAAUGUGGGAAAACCUUCCAUCAGAAGUUGGCCCUAAUUGUUCACCAGAGAACUCAUAUAAGACAGAAACCCUAUGGAUGUAAUGAAUGUGGAAAAUCAUUCUGUGUGAAGUCAAAACUCAUUGCACAUCAUAGAACAUACACAGGGGAGAAACCCUAUGAAUGUAAUGUUUGUGGAAAAUUAUUAUUAAGUCAAAACUAACUGUACAUCACAGAACACACUUGAGGUGAAACCCUAUAAAUGUAGUAAGUGAGGGAAAUUACUCUGGGUGA
rnacentral:lncRNA from 1 species